GGCGCGUUCGUCUAGCGGUUAGGACACCGGCCUCUCACGUCGGCAGCAGGGGUUCGAUUCCCCUACGCGCUA
rnacentral:tRNA from 1 species